rnacentral:rRNA from 1 species
AGAGCGAACGCUGGCGGCGUACUUAACACAUGCAAGUCGAACGGGGAUCGUCGGGUUAGCAAUAAUUCGGCGGUCCUAGUGGCGUACGGGUGAGUAACACGUGGGCAACUUGCCCUUGAGACCGGGAUACCCUCUCGAAAGGGAGGCUAAUACUGGAUACGUUCUUCGGAUCGCAAGAUCUGGAGAGGAAAGGUGGCGCAAGCUACCGCUCUUGGAGAGGCUCGCGGCCUAUCAGCUAGUUGGUGAGGUAAUGGCUCACCAAGGCUAUGACGGGUAGCUGGUCUGAGAGGACGACCAGCCACACGGGAACUGAGACACGGUCCCGACUCCUACGGGAGCAGCAGUGGGGAAUUUUCCGCAAUGGGCGAAAGCCUGACGGAGUGACGCCGCGGUGGGGGACGAAGGGCCUUCGGGUGUAAACCCUGUCAGAGGAAAGAAGGUGCGGCGUGAUACGCCGCACUUGACGUACUCAGAGAGCCCGCAACUCUGUGCCAGCAGCCG